GUACAUGUGAUAAGAUCAAGAAUAAAAAAAAAAAACAUGUGUAACGGCGGAUAUGUAAAGCUAGCUCAUGUACACGUAAUAUAACGUUUGUGCUUUUAUUGUGGUAACUUCCUGUGUGACCGGAAGUGAACGAUAUAACGGUAACUAGCUUGAUGCACAAAAAAGACGGAAGAAAGCGGAAAACUAAUGCUAACGGAGAAAAGGGAGAGAAGGACACGGUUAAACUGUAUAAAAAUCAAUGGUUCUAGCUACAGUCGACAGGGGAACAAGGUUUGUAAUGUACAUGAUUUAAUUUGAAUAAUGUGAAACGCACGACAUGUAUUGUAUAGUUUAAUAGAAAACGGUUAGACCAGCGUAAUGAGCGGUUAAAAUGGUGUUACAUUAAUAACAUGGCAAUUGUUUUAUUUGUUUGUCUAGCUCUUACGUUGGUUCGUUGUCUGAUACACGGCAAGGAACAAUAAAGGUCAUUCAACAACCAUCAGUUCUGGCCUUCUCAGUUCGACUGGAUGCUACAGUAAGAGCUUGACCGCCGCCAUUUUGCUACACCACGAGGGCUCAAGGUUUAACGACAAUUCCCACGACGUCCAGCGGAUGGCAGAUGCAGGUCAGAGAAUAAAACGGUGAAAGGCAUAAGGAAAAUAAAGUUAAAAUGGAGGAUUCAGAAGAAGACAUUAACGAACAGUUUGCAAACAAAGAAAAAAUAUUAAAUGAGCUGCAAGAUAAAGCUCAAAGUGACUCCGCGGUUCCAAGGCGUUCAGAAAGAGCCAAGGUGCCAACAGAAAAAAUGCUAACUUAUCAGAGAGAAGAGAUAAGUAAAAAAGAAAAAAGACUAUUAACUCUUUAUGAACAAUGGAAAAUACGAGUGCGAGAAACAAGAGAAAGAUUAAAGUUGGACAUUUCAGAGAAAGAAAUGGCAGAUCUUGCAGAUGAUGUAGAGCAAAGAAAAGAUGAACUGCUAAAGUUGUACACUGAAAUGAGAAGUCACAUUGCACCUUCAUCAGACAUACGAAGAAAAACCGAUGCAUGUGAAGCAGUUACUCAUGACAUUGUGAAAGUCAUCCUGGAAAGAAUAAGUGGUGUAGAUGGAGACUUUGAUGCAGAAUAUGAAAGAAAACGUCUACGCAGACUAUUAGAACAUGAUUAUGCCCAAUCCAUCUAUGGUUCAACUGCAGCAUCGAAACGUAGCCAACUGUCUUCAGCCUCACAUCUUGCUUCAAAACGAGCAGAUGCAGCAGCAGAACUAGCAGCGAAAGAAGCGGAGUACAAGAUUGUACAAGAGGAACAAAGACAAAAGGAAAAGAUAAAGGCUCUAGAAGAGGAGCAUAAGAAACAAAUGGCAGUUCAAACAUCAGAGUUGGAACGCCUGAAAGCCGAAAGGGAGGUGGAAGCCGCUCGCGCCAGGUUGGACGUCUACAACAGAGAGUUAUCGCAACUUGAUGAUGCAUAUUCAGUAAAGACGGAAAGGGUGAACCCAGAGCAUACACCCAAACACACUGUACCAUCAUGCACCAUACCGGCGCCAACAGCCCCUCCUAGCGUCAGCCAGCUUGCGCAGGCGGUACAAGACAGCAUAAGAAUAAAUAGACUCCCCACGCCAGAACCAACAAUGUUUAGUGGUGAGCCAAUAAAAUUUAUUGAAUGGAAAUCCACUUUCAUGUCACUUAUUGAACAAACUGGCAUGGCAGCAGCAGAUAAACUGUACUAUCUAAAAAGGUAUGUAACUGGCUCAGCUCGCAAGUGCCUUGAAGGGACUUUCUUCAGAAAUGAUGAAGAAGCAUAUAACGACGCUUGGACAAAGUUAAACCAAAGGUAUGGCCAGCCAUUUGUGCUACAAAGGGCAUUUAGAGAGAAGUUAUCUGGUUGGCCUAAAAUACAGUCGAGAGAUGCUGAUGGGCUAAGGAACUUUGCUGAUUUUGUGAAUGCAUGCACACUUGCCAUGCCUCAUGUGAAAGGACUACAAAUACUCAAUGACUGUGAAGAAAAUCAGAAACUGUUGCAUAAACUGCCAGACUGGAUAAACACAAGAUGGAACAGGCAUGUAACAAAGAUACUCAUGGACGGUGGUGAAUUCCCCAGCUUCAGUGAAUUUGCCUCCUUUCUCUCACUUGAAGCAGAAGUAGCAUGCAACCCAGUCACUUCCAUACAUGCACUUCGCUCUACGGAAACGAAUGAUGACAAAAGAAACACAAGAGAAGUCAAAAGAAACAAGGCAAGUGUAUUCAACAUUAACACAACUGAACGAGAUGCAAAGACUAAAAUACACAACAAUUCUUCAUGCACACUGUGCCAAGAGUCGCAUCCACUUAUAAAGUGCCCAGACUUCCUGCAAAUGACUCUGGAAAUGAAAAGGAAACAUGUAAAGGAUAAUAAGCAUUGUUAUGGUUGUUUAAAACAAGGUCAUAGUGCUAAGGACUGCAGACGGCGCCUCACUUGUGAAACCUGCACUAAGAGACACCCGACCUGUCUUCACGAUGAGAACUACAGCAUUAGUCUGCAAAGAGAAAGGCAAGAUCAAGUGAGUAUAGACAACGCAACACAAGGGAACUCACCUGAAAGUGCAACAGCCAUGGCGUUAAAUGUCGCUAGAGCAGAACACACAGUCAGUACCUCCAUGAUAGUCCCAGUAUGGGUCUCAACGGCUGCUAAUCCACAAAGGGAAAAACUAGUCUAUGCGCUACUAGACACACAGAGUGACACAGUUUUUAUAGAUCAGGAUGUAACACAGAAACUGCAAGCAAAUGUGUGCCCUGUAAAACUCAAACUAACCACAAUGAUGGGUAAAAACGCAGUAGUAAGCAGCGGAAAGGUGUGUGAUCUUCUAGUAAGAGGUUACAAUUCAGCAACAGUGCUAAGGCUCCCAACUGCUUAUACAAAGGACUACAUACCUGCAAAUAGAGAACACAUACCAACAUGUGAAACAGCAAAACUGUGGAGUCAUUUGUCAUCCAUCGUAGAUGAGAUCCCACCGCUCCUCAGUUGUGAGGUGAGUCUCCUGAUUGGUUAUACUUGUCCCCAAGCUCUGGCGCCCAGACAAGUGAUCUUAGGCAAAGACAAUGAGCCAUAUGCCAUCCAAACUGAUUUAGGAUGGAGCAUAGUUGGCAACUCAGUGCCAUGCAAUGCAUUAGAGACAACAAGGAGUCUCUGUCACAGAAUAACUGUUAAAGAAAUGCCUCCAUGUACUCCUGCAGAUGCAAUACGUGCACUAGAAAAGGACUUUAAAGAAAACGAAAUAAACGAAAAGAUGGUGUCUCAAGACGACCUUAGGUUUCUUGAGAAACUUGAACAAGGCAUAACACAAACAGAGAAGGGACAUUAUGAAAUGCCAUUGCCAUUUAAAGAAAGGCCACAAAUGCCAGAUAACAGACAACUCACCGAGAGCAGACUCAAUAAGCUCAACAGUAAACUAAUGUGUGAUGAAAAAUACAAAAAGGACUGUGUCACAUACAUGAAUGACAUUAUACAAAGGGUUGACGUUGAAGAGACUAAUGAUAAUGGACCUGAAGGUGAGACACGAAACAAUGCUGCACCACGGCAAUGGUUCUAUGUACCGACGAGUGAAAAUCCCGCUGACAUAGCAUCAAGAGGCACAUCAGUAGGGGAACUGCUAUCAUCAAACUGGCUCACAGACCCUCAAUUCUUAUGGGAAAAGAAGUUAAAUCUUCCAACUAAAGAGUCUAUUGAACUUUUGGUGGGAGAUCCAGAGGUGAGAAAAGUGCAAACACUCAACAGCCAAACUACAGAACACAGAAGUCUCUGUGACCGUCUCACAAGAUUCUCAUCCUGGUCACACGCUGUCAGUGCCAUAGCACGUCUCAAACGGUUCCUACUCAGAGACAAAUCAAAGUCACUCAGCACUGUAACUGAAAGACAAAACGCUGAAAUGGUGAUUAUCAAAGACUUACAAGGACUAACAUUUUCAGAUGAGAUAAAGACAUUAAGCAAAGGAAAGGCACUACAUGAGAGCAACAAAAUGUACAACUUGGAUCCUUUCUUGGACGAAGACAAUGUGCUCAAGGUGGGAGGAAGGCUGCAACACUCAUCGCUUCCUAACACGUUCAAACAUCCAACUGUCAUUCCAAGAGACCAUCAUAUUACAAAACUCAUAAUCGCUCACUGUCACAAAAGAACAAACCAUCAAGGAAAGAGCUUCACAAUGAACGAAAUACGGUCCAGCGGUUAUUGGAUUCCCAAGUUAAGUCAAACAGUAUCAGACUACAUCCAUCAGUGUGUGACGUGUCGGAGACUAAGAAGAGCUGUGGAAGGACAAAAAAUGAAAGAUCUCCCCACAGAAAGAGUCGAACAAUCUCCGCCUUUCACAUACUGUGGUAUGGAUGUUUUCGGCCCGUUCCUAACCAAACAAGCAAGAAAAGAAAACAAAAGGUACGCUCUCCUUUUCACUUGUUUCUAUUUACGAGCAGUACACGUAGAAAUGUUAGAAGACCUGACUACGGACGGUUUCAUUAAUGGACUAAGGUGCUUUAUAGCUCUGAGAGGCUCUGUCAGACAAAUAAAAUGUGAUCGAGGUACUAACUUUGUAGGUGCCAAAAAUGAACUGUGCGCAGCACUGAAUGAAAUAAAAAACUGACAACCUUUCUAUCUGAAAAACAAUGUGAUUUUGUGUUUAACACACCCCAUGCUAGUCACGCAGGUGGAGUAUGGGAACGACAAAUUCGGACUGUGAGAAACGUCCUCAACGCCACACUUGCUCUCGCAAAGAGACGACUCACUGAUUCAUCGCUCAGAACCUUUCUCUAUGAAGCAGCUGCAAUAGUAAACAGCCGCCCGUUGACGACAGACAAUCUCAAUGAUCCAAACAGUUUGAAACCAAUAACUCCAAAUCAUCUCCUAACUAUGAAAACCACAACAGCCUUGCCUCCUCCAGGACAGUUUGUUAAAGAGGAUCUGUAUGCUCGAAAGCAAUGGCGCCAGGUACAAUACCUAACAGAGCAAUUUUGGAGCAGAUGGAAGAGAGAAUAUCUUCACAACAUCAGGGUUCGGCAGAGAUGGCAUGCUGCUAAAGGGAAUAUGCAAGUAGGUGACAUAGUGAUGGACAAGGAUGAAAUACUGCCACGAUCCCAAUGGAGAUUUGGUAGAGUUGUGGACACCAUAACAGAUGAAGAUGGACUUGUGAGAAAGGUCAAAGUAACCUUUGCAGACAGAAACCUUAGUAAAAAGGGUGAACGUUUACAUAAGAUGUCUACAGUAGAACGCCCAGUUCAUAAGUUGGUUCUGCUGUUGUGAAGAGCAAAAUGUUGUAAGAAGUUAAAGUGCAAUGAAAAGUAGUUGUUGCAUAUAAAUAGGUAUUAUCAUUGUUAAGUUACCUGUUUGGAAAUUAUUUGUGUUUUAUUUUGUUUGUAACAGCAAAUAAUUUGGUGGGAGUGUAACGGCGGAUAUGUAAAGCUAGCUCAUGUACACGUAAUAUAACGUUUGUGCUUUUAUUGUGGUAACUUCCUGUGUGACCGGAAGUGAACGAUGUAACGGUAACUAGCUUGAUGCACAAAAAAGACGGAAGAAAGCGGAAAACUAAUGCUAACGGAGAAAAGGGAGAGAAGGACACGGUUAAACUGUAUAAAAAUCAAUGGUUCUAGCUACAGUCGACAGGGGAACAAGCUCUUACGUUGGUUCGUUGUCUGAUACA